rnacentral:rRNA from 1 species
AUUGAACGCUGGCGGCAGGCCUAACACAUGCAAGUCGAGCGGAUGAAGGGAGCUUGCUCCUGGAUUCAGCGGCGGACGGGUGAGUAAUGCCUAGGAAUCUGCCUGGUAGUGGGGGAUAACGUCCGGAAACGGGCGCUAAUACCGCAUACGUCCUGAGGGAGAAAGUGGGGGAUCUUCGGACCUCACGCUAUCAGAUGAGCCUAGGUCGGAUUAGCUAGUUGGUGGGGUAAAGGCCUACCAAGGCGACGAUCCGUAACUGGUCUGAGAGGAUGAUCAGUCACACUGGAACUGAGACACGGUCCAGACUCCUACGGGAGGCAGCAGUGGGGAAUAUUGGACAAUGGUCGAAAGCCUGAUCCAGCCAUGCCGCGUGUGUUGAGAAGGUCUUCGGAUUGUAAAGCACUUUAAGUUGGGAGGAAGGGCAGUAAGUUAAUACCUUGCUGUUUUGACGUUACCAACAGAAUAAGCACCGGCUAACUUCGUG